UUCCAAUAGGAGAGGACUUGUGUUGCAAAUUUAUCUUAAUCAAAUCCAUCUUUAAGUCUUGUGUUGCUUUACAUCAAUUAUUAUUGACUACUGGGUCAAGCAAGCAAAUUUAUCUCUGUAUGCCCUCAAUGUUUGCUGUGUUAACACCACUAUCACAUCAGCUACUUAGCUGAAGAGCCGUCUCUGUAAAAGCCCAACCAUCAUGGGAAUCUGCCUCAAUGCAGAGGCCUUUUCCUGACAAGCUAGUGCAAAUUACCAUUCUAUCUCUUCGUUUCUGUCUAAAAAUACAGUAGAAAAAUGGUCUUUAAGCUGUUAUUUACAAAUCACCUUCAUUUUGGAAUGAGCUGAAAGUGCCUCUGAGAAGUUCCAAAAAUUAACCUUUACAGAAUGCUGGUAUGAUUGAUCUGGCCACAGAAAUCCCUGAAUUUUUAACUUUGGUUUUCCAGAGGUUAAAUGUUUGUCCAUAACCUAUUUUUAUGUUUCUCCAUAACCUAGUGGGUCAAAUUAUUAUCCAUGUUUGGAAUGCGAAUUGUCUUUUCAAGGGCAAGGAAAAUGCUCUACUGGAAAACACAGAAGCAACCUUCUAUGCUAUGCAAAUCUUCCCGUGUAACCAAAGCCAUUGCGUCUGCUUUCUGUCUUCCUACCAUAGAUCAUACAAAAGCUGCUCAGGUGUCAUGGAGCUCCUUGGGAAAAGGACUUAAAACAGCUGAUAUUAAAAAUAGUUUUUGUUCUGGUGGAAGAGGACAAAGGGAAGCUUGGUACUUGACCUUCCUCAAGAACACAGCUCAGCAUGCUCAUGGUCUCCACAGCCAUGAAAGCAGAAGUUGUUACAAGGGUGUGCUUCAUUAAGCUUUGAGGUUUUAUCAACACGCCCCAUGGAGUCAGUUACACUUUCCUUCCUGAGCGCCCUUCAAAUCAAGCUGAAUCUUGGUGUCAGUUGAUCAGUUUUCCGGAGGAGUGAUUAACAUUUGGUGGUUAUGUUUAGGAAGAGAAAACCAAAAAUAUUUGUUCACGCUCUGAGAGACACCCUUUCAGUAGCAGCUGGUGUCAACUGAUCUAGAAUCAACCUCUCUGCUUCACAUACUUCACUUAACCUGGAUCGAGCAUCAAGCACAACGCUUAACGUUAAGCAGUUUCUGACUAUUCUGCCUCAUCAGACUACUCCUGUGGUUAAUUGUUCUAGUUUGAUGCAGACUGUCCCUCCUAUUGCAAAAGUACAUCUUAACAUACCGCUAUUACAUUUCCUAGUUCUAAUUAUGUCAGCUUAGAGAAAUAUGGUUGAUAAACUUUGAUAAAAUCAUUUUUAA